rnacentral:rRNA from 1 species
CCUACGGGUGGCAGCAGUGGGGAAUAUUGGACAAUGGGGGGAACCCUGAUCCAGCCAUGCCGCGUGUGUGAAGAAGGCCCUCGGGUUGUAAAGCACUUUCAGUGAGGAAGAACGCCUGGUGGUUAAUACCCAUCAGGAAAGACAUCACUCACAGAAGAAGCACCGGCUAACUCCGUGCCAGCAGCCGCGGUAAUACGGAGGGUGCGAGCGUUAAUCGGAAUUACUGGGCGUAAAGCGCGCGUAGGUGGCUUGAUAAGCCGGUUGUGAAAGCCCCGGGCUCAACCUGGGAACGGCAUCCGGAACUGUCAAGCUAGAGUGCAGGAGAGGAAGGUAGAAUUCCCGGUGUAGCGGUGAAAUGCGUAGAGAUCGGGAGGAAUACCAGUGGCGAAGGCGGCCUUCUGGACUGACACUGACACUGAGGUGCGAAAGCGUGGGUAGCAAACAGGAUUUGAUACCCCGGUAGUC